GCAUACUGUGGUGAAUACGUUCCCGGGCCUUGUACACACCGCCCGUCACACCAUGAGAGUUGAGAAUACCCGAAGCCCAUGUCAAAGUGGUCGAAGGUAGGCUUGAUGAUUGGGGUGAAGUCGUAACAAGGUAAC
rnacentral:rRNA from 1 species